rnacentral:rRNA from 1 species
AAAAAAGGUAAGCUACUAAGAGCGAAUGGUGGAUGCCUUGACUGGUAAAGGCGAUGAAGGACGUACUAGACUGCGAUAAGCUACGGGGAGCUGUCAAGAAGCUUUGAUCCGUAGAUUUCCGAAUGGGGCAACCCAAUGUAUAGAGAUAUACAUUACCUAUAUAGGAGCGAACGAGGGGAAUUGAAACAUCUUAGUACCCUCAGGAAAAGAAAUCAAUAGAGAUUGCGUCAGUAGCGGCGAGCGAAAGCGCAAGAGGGCAAACCCAGUGCUUGCACUGGGGGUUGUAGGACUGCAAUGUGCAAGAGGUGAGUUUAGCAGAACAUUCUGGAAAGUAUAGCCAUAGAGGGUGAUAGUCCCGUAUGCGAAAAACAAACCUUAGCUAGCAGUAUCCUGAGUAGGGCGGGACACGAGAAAUCCUGUCUGAAGCUGGGUCGACCACGAUCCAACCCUAAAUACUAAUACCAGAUCGAUAGUGCACAAGUACCGUGAGGGAAAGGUGAAAAGAACUGAGGUGAUCAGAGUGAAAUAGAACCUGAAACCAUUUGCUUACAAUCAUUCAGAGCACUAUGUAGCAAUACAGUGUGAUGGACUGCCUUUUGCAUAAUGAGCCUGCGAGUUGUGGUGUCUGGCAAGGUUAAGCAAACGCGAAGCCGUAGCGAAAGCGAGUCUGAAUAGGGCGCUUAGUCAGAUGCUGCAGACCCGAAACGAAGUGAUCUAUCCAUGAGCAAGUUGAAGCUAGUGUAAGAACUAGUGGAGGACUGAACCCAUAGGCGUUGAAAAGCCCCGGGAUGACUUGUGGAUAGGGGUGAAAGGCCAAUCAAACUUCGUGAUAGCUGGUUCUCUCCGAAAUAUAUUUAGGUAUA